CAAAUGAACUCCGGAAGAAGUUAAUAGCACCACUAUUAAGCAAGUUAUGAUGAAAAUAAGAGGACCCUUUCGAAUUUUUUAGGAAAAAGUGAAAAAUAAAUCGUACCAAAUGUUUUUCAGAAAAUCUACAAUUGGUCCAGAGUGUCAUUGCUACUUUACAGGUGACAUAUAUGCAACGUAACGUAAGUUUUCUAUCAAGGAUAACACCAAAUCUCCUCCGAGAGUGAUAAUUUUAUCAUUCACUGUCGAAGGUUUGCGCCUAUAGCUGAAAGAAACAAGUGCCAUUUUAUUAUGAUUUACUGAGAGUCUUUGUUUCGAGCAGUAGAUAAUCGCCAAGGGGGCUUUCUCCGAAGACUAGAAUAUUUUUAUUUUGUUAUUUUUGAUUUUAUUUUACCACUGGGAUAAUAAGCGUAUAUUUUUAUUUUAAUUAAAUCUGUGUUUUACCGAGUCUGUUGUCCGAAUGAACUGCUCGGUACAGUGUCACGUCAAUCAUGCACGGAGCGAAUACAGUAUUAGGUAAAACAGAAAAAAAAACCAAAAUAUUAAUUAUUUGUAUAUUACUGUUAAAUACAAUUUAUAUGUAUAAUAAAAUACACGUGUAUAUUAAAAAACUCUUUCAAUAAAAUGUAGACUUUAUACUGAAAA
rnacentral:lncRNA from 1 species